rnacentral:lncRNA from 1 species
CCAAUAUAUAUCUAUUUUAUGAAAUAAAUGUAUAUAUUUAAAAUCUAGGUAAAAAGUUCAAUAACUUAAAAUAUUAAAAAUACAUAUUUAAUAAAAAAAAUUGUGGGUAAAUGGUCAUUUUAAUUGAUCAAAGUGGGCCACCAAACCAAACCCAUAAAACAACCCAGAUCUAGUUGGACCCUUUAAUUCGCACCGUUCAAUUUCUACCAUGUGUGUUCAUCUUCAUGCCGAAAUUGAUAAUGCUUGUUCCUCCUCAUUAUUGGAGUCGUGGUGGUGUGUUUUUAUAUACUGUGUAUCUAUAUUCACGAACCAGACCCUCUUCUAUCCAAAGUUGAGAACACAAGGUAGCUAAGAACCCACGCGGGGGAGAAGACAAGGACGAAAUCUUUAUAACUGUUCUUCAUCCUGACAGAUCUACUACUAGUAAUUACCUUGUAGAGCGAUCUACCUGCUACUUGUCUUCAGCCUCUACUCCCAUUUGGAGGUAAUUAUCUCCCUUUUUUUUAUCUCUUGAACUUUAGCCGUCUAGUCUCUUGAAAUCUUUUAUGAUUUGAUUUUUGUCAAAAGUAAGCUACUUCAGUUAUGGCUAUUGUGAUCAGUGGCGGAUCAAGAAAUUUUUUAGAGGAUUCGAAAAAUAAAAAUAUAAAUAUGUGAAUAGGCGUCUUUUUUUUGUUUUUUUUUUUCUUUUAGCUGUACAGGACAUACAAUAUCAGCUGUACAAAACAGUUUAUUUUUAAAAAAUAGGCAGCCUAGCGGGGAUCGAUCCGCAAAAAGGGCUGAGUUGGCGCCCCAAGUUAUGGAGAAAGUACCACUGAGUUAUCCAACAACCUUGUGUUAGAUGGUUCAAAAUUAAUAUAUGUACAUAAAUAUAGAUUUUCUAUUUUAUAUAUACAACGUAAUUUUUUGUCGAGGGGUUCGGAAACCCCUCGCUAACACGUAGGUCCGCCCCUGAUUGUGAUGCACCUUGUAUCAUGUUGAACUACAAAUUUUGCUAUGAUAAACAGUAUUUACUUCUUUUUAUAAAAACAUCCUAAUUUCUUGUAUGUUGUCUAGAAACUGUACUUAUCACCUUGUGCUUUUUAUGUAAUUUUUUUAUAUAAAAAACAUAUAAGAUCUGUUGUUGAUGAAAGUAAAAUUUUAUGGCUCUCGAAAUUUCAAUCGUGCCACAUAAAUUAGGUAUACAUAGUGUCUUCCUGACAAGACACGGGGUAAGCUGACCCAAAAUGAAAAAUAGAAAACUCGUAGAAACCAAUUAACAUCACACAAAGAAGAGGAUUGUUAGUACAAGCAUCCACCCAGAACUUUUCCACAGUGUAGUUGACACUAUCAAGGAGCUGGGGUGUUUCUAGUUACCGUAAAGGCCUUCUUGAUUGUCUAGAUUUGAUGAAUUUGAUACCACCAAUACGCUUCUUCGUCAAAGUAUUAUCUUUUUGGAUUCUCAGUUCAUCACUAAUUUAAUAAAGAUUUGGUUUUGGGGCUUUUUAAUUCACUCUUUGCUAUAAAAAAAAAAUUGAUAUCUUGUGCCUUGAGCCGGGGGUCUUUCGGAAACAGCCUUUCUACUUCAUCAGAGGUAGAGGUAUGGACUGCGUACAUCUUACCCCCGACCCCACUAAGUGGGAAUACACUGGGUUUGUUGUUGUUGUGUAUGCUAUAAUGUAUAUCUAGUUCUAGAUUUUCAAUGGUAUUUAUUAUCUUGUGUUGUUCUUCUCGUAGUGAGUUUUUUAAACUAUAUAAACUAUCACAUGUGCUUUUAUCUAAAUUUUCUAAGGUUUUUUCUAUCCAUACUAAUUUUUCUUUUAGGUCUUCCAUUAUUUUUCUAAUUCGGUUUCUAUAAUUAAUUUCAUUAUUUAGAUUUUCUUGAUUUUCUCUAGUUUGUCUAAUAUAUUCUAAAAUUUUUUAAUCUGAAUAAUAUCCUUCUGGGUAAAUUUCUUCGUAUAACUGUUCUAGACAAUUUAUAGUUUCAAUUUCGUAGUCUAUUACUUUUUCUAAUAUUAUUUUCUUAAUAUCUAUAAUUUCUAUGUUUUUAAGUAUAUAUAAUAUUAAAACUGUAAGAUAAUCUAAAUGAUCUAUUUUUAAAAUUGGUUUUAUUAUAAUAUUUUGUAGUUGUUUGUUUUAGCCUUAGUAGUUUUUGCAUAUUUUUAUUAAGAAAUUUUAUAUCUUUAUUUUCCAUGUAUUUAUCUAUAUUUAUUUUUAUCUGUUUUUCUAGUAACUGCAUAUUUUUUAUAUCUUUUUCUAAAAAUUUUAUGUAACUUAUCAUCGUAAGUAUUUAUAAGAGUAGUUAGGUAGUUGUGGUAUAUAAUUUAUUCUAGUCAUGUAAUAUUUACCAAAAGCUUUUUCUAAUAUUAUUUUUCUUAUAUCUGCUACUUUUAUAUUUCUAAGUGCAUACAAAAUAAGUAUCUUGAAUUUAUCUACCAUCACAUCAGAUAUAUUAUCAUUCAUUUUUCAUAAAUUUGCUUUUUUCAAAAUAUUCCCUUCAAUCACGUACACAACAAAAUAUGGUCAUAUUGGCUUACUAUAUACUAGAUUAUUCUUAAAUAAUAUGUUCUUCCGUCACUAUUAACAUGGUAAUCCGGAUACUUUUUCCCUUAAACAGCGCCUCUACUCUGGUUACUCCCCGCCACGGCUUCUUGCCUCAAUGGUUUCACCUUUAGGAUGGCAUAGUCCUUAGGGAUAUUUCUCCGUUUCCUCUUUGUUAAUAAACUUCUUAACAUAUUAUUCUUCGAAUAAUUCUACUAUAAAGUAACUAAUAUGAAUUAUUUUAUCAUAUCAUGAUUGUUGGGAAUUAUGAAAUUAGCUAUUCAUAAUUAUAAAUAGAUAUACCUGUUCCGGUAGCUUUGAUGUUUCUGAGUUUUGUUGUUCCAUAGCUUUUUCCAUUGGAGUAUAUUUAUCUAAUUAACUGAGUAAUUUUUGUGGAAUGGAGAGAGAAAGGUUUGCUUCAAAAGAAGGCUUGCUUUCCGCAAUACCCUCGACCUUUGUAUUUAUAGAAUGAAUUUACAUGUCUGCUGUUGCUAAAAAGUAAUGAAAAUUAAAACAGUGGGGCCUAUCCCCAUCUACUUUAUCCUAAAUUUCUAAGUUACGUAAAGUAAAGCCUAAGGUAUUUAACUUACAUACAAUUUCUAAAACUUAAGAAAAAAUAGUCAACUAUAGUGGCUACAUAUAUAAAAAGUCUAACAAAUUAAUUAAUGUACAGUAUCUUGUCUCCGUUGAUUUUUGUCGUCUCUGCUCUAUUAUUGCUCCUUAUCUGCUCUAUUAUUGCUCUGUAUCUGCUCCAUUAUUGCCCUGUGUCGGCUCCAUUAUUGCUCUUUUAUCUUUAUCCUUCCAGCUGGCAUUUUAUCUUCUUUAUUCUAGAUGUACCUCUGGAAUAAUAUUAUCUUCUCCAUUGCACCUCGAACAUUGGUGGUCUGGAUAUUUAUGUCCAAUUAUCUUACAGUAUCUCGUUAGUAGUCCGUCUGAAAUAAAUCCCUUUUUUAUUGCUCGUGCGGUAGAUUGUUUUUCUGGGUUGAGUAGUGUCAAUAUCCACUGUCUUACAUCUUCCAUAUCUGCUUGUCUUAGUUCUUUCGAAUUUGAAUAUAUCAUUUGGUGGUCUCUUGAAUAGUAGCUCCAUAUUGGAUUUCCGUUAGCGUAGUUAUUUGCUAGUUCUUGUAUGAUCGUAGCUAGUCCAAUAAGUCUUUUAUUUGCGUAAAAAUCUGGUAUCUCUAUUCUAGGUAUCUCCGGUUGUCGCGAUAUAUCUUCCGGUAUAAUCAUGUCUCUUGUCAGUCCUAUCUUUACAACUUGUAUCACUGGUUUUAUCUCAUCAUAUAAUAUCUCUGCUGGUGCAGUAUAACAUUUUAUAUAAAAUAAAGUUCCUUUUGUUAUUCUUUUAUAGGUAGUAAAUAUCUUGUAUAAUUCCUCCAUAGCUGUUAACUCUUCUCCGUCUUGGGUGUAUAUGGUAUUUAGUAGUCCAUAGUCAAAACAAGUUUUAACUAGGCUUGGGUUAGUUUUGGGUAGUGCUAUCAGUUUGUUGUAUCCUUGUAAUUUUUGGGUUAUAUAAUUGGUAUUUGGUUCUUUGAUAUCUGUAGCUCUGGGGUUGUGGUUUAGAAAAGUUUGUACUCUGUAUAUAUUUUCUAUGUAUUUUUGGGCUGUGUAGUUGUAUAUUUUCUUGUCUUGGUUUAGGCUGUCUCGGUAUGUAUUAACUUGUGGGGGUAUGAAUAAAUGGUCUUUUUGUGUUUUAGGGGUAAAUGGUUUUUCGAAUAUUUUAUUCAUAUUUGCAUUUUGGUAUCUUGGUCUAUUAACUCCUUUGCUUGUACCUGCAGAAGUAGAUUGAUAAAUGUUAUGGGUUUUAUGGAGUGUCCCAACGUCUCCUUCUAGCUCUGGAUUUUUAAUGUUUUCCGAUCGACAUAGCUCUGCACACUGCUGAGUUAGCUGAUUUGUAGCUAUAGACUUCAGUUUACCUUCAUUAGUCUUUAGCUUUUCUAUCUCAUUACCCAUACUGUCCACUUUCAUUGAAAGCGUAGUUAGGGUGUUAAGUAUUUUUUCUAGAGUAUCUUCCUCUACUAUAUCAGUCUGUGUAGCUUUGUCUUGAUAUGUAAUCUGCAAUAACAUUUUUGUUAGUACUGAUCACUUCAAUUGUAAAUGUGAAAUUUAAUAUAUUUAAAACUAGUCUUCGAAUCUCUUUUGUUGUAACUGAAUUUUGUAUUUUCUUUGUUAACCACCAGCGUACCUGUGUAUUAUCUGUUCGUACAAUAAAUUUGUUAUAUACAAUAUAUGGCUCAAAUGAUAAUAAACACUUAUAUAAUGAACAUAACUCUUUUCUAUUUAUUUCCCAUUUUAUUUCUGUUUCGUUGAACGUACCUGAGUAAUAUCUACAAUGAUGUUCUAUUUUUUCUGCUUCAUAUCGAUAUUUAAGUACUCCUCCGUAACUAUAUUCACUUGCAUCUGCUUCUACUAUAUAUAUAAAUUUUCUAUUUUCGUCUGGAAAUUGUAAUUUAGGUAAUUCUCUACAAAGUAAUUUUAUUUUUUGAACUUGUUUUUUAUCUUUUUCAUCAUAAUUAUAUUCUAUAUCCUUUUUUAAUUUUUUCUGCAGUGGUUUUAAGGUUUCUGCUAAUUUUGGAAUAUAUUCUCUUACUUGGUUUACUAAUCCUAAAAAUGAUUGUAAUUUCUUUUUUGUAUCUAAUUCUUCUUUCGAAUUUAUUAUUUUUUGUACUAUAUGUUGUUGCAUUUUUACUCCACUUUUAUCUAUUUGUAUUCCUAAAAAUUCUAUCUGGUUUUUCAUAAUUUCAGCUUUCUUUUUGCUUAGACUUAUUCCUGAUUUUUCUAUUAUAUCUGUGAAUUGUUCUAAUAAUUUUAAAUGUUCUUCUUUAGUUUUUGUAUAUAAUAAUAUAUCAUCUAUGUAUACUAUACAAUUAGAUAAUUGUUUAAAAUAAUUAUCCAUAAAAUGUUGAUAUCUACCUGGUGCAUUUUUAUAUCCAAAUGGUAACACGUUCCAUUCAUAAAAUCCUUGUGGUACCGUAAAUGCGGUUAAUUCUUUAGAUUCUUCUUCUAGCUUUAGGUGGUAAAAUCCUGAUUUACAAUCAAAUUUGCUAAAAUAAUUAUAUCCUUGGAUUUGUCUUAUUUUUAAUAUCUUAUUUGGUAUCGGAUAAUUAUAUGUUAUAGUUUUUGCAUUUAAAUUUCUAUAAUCAAUAACCAUCCUACUUUUUCCUCUUUUUUGUUCACUAUGUUUAUUUACUAUAAAUGCUGGACUGUUAUGUUUACUAUUACUUUUUUGUAUAUAUUGUUUUUCUAAUAAUUCAUCUAUGUGCAUUUUAAAUUCUUUUAAAUCAUCAAAAUUAUAUGUUAAUGGUUUUUGUGUUAUUAUGCUAUUCUUAUCUAUUAAUUCAAUUUUUAUAGUAGUUUUGUGUUUUUCCCAUCCUUUUAAUGGAUCUUCACUAUAUAAUUGUUCUAAUUUUUUCUGAAUUAUUUCUAUUUUAUUUAUUGAAAAUAUAGUUAUUUCUGUUUUAUUUAUCGAAAAUACUACUAGUUCUACUGUAUCUUCAGUAUUUUUUAUAUUUUCUAACUUUUGUGUAAUUUUUUCACUUCCUUUUAUCCAAUCAGUUUUCUUUCUUAUUUUAUUAUUAACUCUUUUUGCUCUUACUUUUUGUUUGCAUGGUGUUGUAAACCACCAGUCUGUUUUGGUUAUUAUAUGUGGGUAUAAUUUAUCUAAAAAUGGCAUUCCUAAAAGUAUAUCUUUUGAUGUUAAUUCAUAAUUAUAAAUUUCUUCUAUUGUUAAUAUCUUAUCCCAUACUUGUAUUUUUACAUUCCUAGCUUUAUAAGUAAUUAAGCUUCCUUCAUUAUUAAAUCCUUUAACUAUUAUUGGUGUUUUUAGUUUAUCCCAUUUGCUUUCUGGUAAGCAAUUAUAUCUACAUAAAUUAGCUUCUGCUCCUGUAUCUAUCAUAGGCGUAUAAUAUCUACUGUAAUAUCCUUCUACUACUAUCUUCAUUAAUACAUGUAUCUUCAUUUCAUGUUAAGGCUCUUUUUAAGAAUAACUUUUCUUGGUUAUAUGUUAAGGUUAAUUGUGUAUGUUCUAUAUUAUAUGGUUUUACUUGUUCCAACCAUUUUAUUCCUAAUAUUAUAUCUGCUUUUUGCAUUUCUUCCUUUACUUCGAAUUCUAUUUUUAUUUUUCUAACUCCUAAUAUUAUUUCUUUUUCUGCUAGAUUUUUAUUAUUUUACGAAAUUGAAACUAUAAAUUACCUAGAACAGUUAUACGAAGAAAUUUACCCAGAAGGAUAUUAUUCAGAUUAAAAAAUGUUAGAAUAUAUUAGACAAACUAGAGAAAAUCAAGAAAAUCUAAAUAAUGAAAUUAAUUAUAGAAACCGAAUUAGACAAAUAAUGAAAGACCUAAAAGAAAAAUUAAUAUGGAUAGAAAAAACCUUAGAAAAUUUAGAUAAAAGUACAUGUGAUAGUUUAUAUAAUUUAAAAAACUCACUACGAGAAGAACAACACAAGAUAAUAAAUAACAUUGAAAAUCUAGAAUUAGAUAUACAUUAUAGCACAGAUAGGAUAAAUUAUUAUACAGAAAUUUGUAACUCUGCAAUUACUACAGGAUAAAAUAAUUAAUGAAUAUAUCUUACGAAAAAAGUAAAUUAUUAAAAGAUAUUAAAACAAAAUUUAAAAAAUAUCCACGCACUAAUAAAAAUAGAUUCACUAGAAACCUAUUAAAUCCGCACACCCCCCUAUAAUUUAAAUAUUCUUCCUUUGUUAUUAUUUUUAUAUCUUCUUCAGUCAUUUGAUUCCUCUAUUUCGCUAUCUAUUUCAUUAUCUGUUUCGUUUUCUGAAAUUUCUUAUAUACUAUCUUCACUUUCUAAUUCAUAAUCUAUAUAAUCUAUCGAGCAAUAAUGGAGCAGAUAAAGAACAAUAAUGGAGCAGAUACGACAACGGAAGAUAUUUUGACUUACUGUACAAAAUUUUCUUACGAUACUAUAAUGUAAAUCAAUAAUUGCUUUUCUUACUUUUCUUAAGUCUUGUCACUCCAUAAUGUUCUUAUAAGGCUUAGCUCAGAUUUCCAGUAACGUCAUCAAGUGCGUGUAUUCCUAAAGAAUAGUGUAACAAUCCGAAUCUCUUAACAUAAUAUUAACGUGUUAUUAUAUAUAUUAAUCAUGUGGUUUGUGGUUUAUGUUAUAUUAUUAUAUUUUCACUCCUGUAAUAAUUUUUUCUAUUUAUUUAAUUUAGUAAAGUCUUUAUUUUGAAUAGACCAUUGUGUCGUGUGUUCUUUAAUUAUAUAAAGCCCGUUUGGAUAAGAUUAAAAAAUAGCUUUUUAGCUUAAGUGAUUAAAAGCUUAAAAUAAGUGCUUAUAAAUUAAGUAGAUAAGUGUUUGGAUAGAAGUGCUGAAACUGAAAAAAAGUUGUUGAUGCGUUUGGUAGCACUUUUUUGUUGUUAAAAUGACUUAAAUGUCAUUAAAGUUGUUAACACCAUAAAUAAGGUGAAUUAUUUAUAAUUUUUAAUUUUAAAAUAAAAUGUUUGAACAAACCUUCGAUUAAUGAUGAAUUCGAUUAAAACAAAGAAGAUGAAGAGGAAAUGGGAGGGAGGAGAUGAAGUGAAGCGACAAAGAGAAAAAGAAAAAAUAUAUAUAUUUAAAGGCUACAAGUUUAGGAUAUUGUUGGAAUUGGAGGAAAAUAUAAGAGAUAAAAAGGUAAAUGUUUUGAUCAAACCUGAAAAAAUUUUAAUCUAAAAAGCAAAAAGUUGGGGUACCCAACUUCUCAUUUUUUGAUUCUUUUAAUUAGUUUUUAGUUUUUUUAAAGCACUUUUUAGUUUUACCAAAUAACUUAAAAAGCUAAAAAAGAGAUUAAAAGCUUGUUUGAACAAAUUUUAAUCCUAUCCAAACGGGCUCAUAGUAGUCGAUUUUGUGUAUGAAGUUAUUAACCCAUGCAGAGAAAAUUAAAAUUAUCGGUUCUUAUAAGUUAUAAAUUAACAUUCACAAUCAAAGACGAAGUAGGACAAACAUCUCAAUGAUUGUAACACAAGAUUAAAUAUAAUUUGAUCUUAAGUGUGAGAAUGAUAAUAAUAAUCCAACUUCUUGUGUUAGUACAUGACACCUCUUUAUGAUUGCUUAUAAGUUUUUGAGUGAAAACCAUGCAGGUGAAUUUUGUAUCCAUCACAUGAUCAAAUAAGUUAAGCGUGCAAAAUAAAGGAUAAAAUUAAUCAAGAAAUCAAGUUUUCAAAAAAAUUAUUUAAUAGAUUGUUGUUGGUAAUUUUAACAUGAGGAGUCAAAUAAGAUGUGACGCUAUACUUCAAAAUUAAUCGAGGAGUGCAACUACAAAUUUUUAGUUGAAUAAUUUGUAAUAUAUUGUGAUAUGAUGAUUUACUCAUUUGUAAAUUAAUAUCAUAAUUAAAAGUCUCACAUAAUAAAUUUACAGUCUCUACUAUGCCUGAUUAAUUAAUCAAUUUUUUUUUAAAAAAAAGUAAGAAAGGCUUAAGGUUUUAAUAGGAAAAAAAUCCUAUUGAUGAUAGAAAUUAAGACACCUUUUAAACCUUAGUCAUAAUGGGAAAAAGAUGUUUAUUGGCUUAAUGUUGACAUUAGAUGGGGUGGUCUAAUAGAAAAAACGUGUGAAGUAAAUAGAGAAAAAGAAC